AUGGGUGUGAUGUGACAUUUGUUUGUUUGUAAAUUUUCUAGAAAUCGAAUUUAUUUGCAAUUGUAAUUUUAAUUUUGUAAAACGUAGUGAUUUGAGACUUGACUUUAAAUUUGUUUUAUACUGAAAUCACACGGACAGGACACGUCUUUGCCCCUAUAUAUUUCGUAAAGCAAUUAAUUAAUUUGUAUUUAUAAUCAUAAAAAACAAAUUGAAAAACAUGGAAGGCGUAAAGCAGGACAGUGAAGUCCAAUUGACUAUCAACAAACCAAAAAGAGUGAUCCAUUUCAGCGAUGGGGUUGAGGAAGAUAUAGAGGAGGAAAAGGUGAAUGAAUUGCAAAGUGCUCCCGAACAAAAUGUAGACCCAAAAAGCCUGUCAUGGGGUCCAUGGUUUUCUUAUUACACAUGGAAGUCUGGUGUAACAGCUCUCAAUGCUGUAGAUUACGCUGGAGAGUCUCUGGCAAGUUUCUUCGGAAUCACCACUCCGAAGUACCAGAUCGAAAUAGAUGAAUAUGAGAGGCUGCAGGAAGAGAAACGGCAAAUGGAUGAAGAGUCCGCUGGAUGGGUGCCGAAGAAUGUGGGUGGAGAUAUACCCCUAGUUAUGAGUGAGCCGUCAAAAGUUCAUAAGCCUGAACCUGUUUGAUUGAAGGCCUAUUUGUGUUUGGACUGCUGUACUGAAGUGUACUAAAUACCAGCCAGUGCAGAUAUUGGUCAAGUGGCCAAGUAAAUUUUAUUCUUAAUGUUCAAUUUCAAUGAUACCUACUAAUAUUUGGAUGCAAUCUUUAUGAUGUCGAAUAUCAGCUAAGGAUGUUGCUUCGCGCUGGUCAUAGAUAAAGCCAAGACAUGUUAUCCCUCCCCCCUAUGUUACCGAUGACAUCUGAAAUGUAAUAUACUGCCGCUUGACACAUGGUGUUUCAAAACGUCAUAUACUUUGCGUGCCUACCUAAUUUCAGAUGCAUAAAUAUUGUUCUAAACUUAUUUUAAUCUACCUUUACAUUAUCUUAGACAUGUUUUCUCAUCAGAUUUAAUCUGGAUGAUCAAUGUACUUUACUUUGUUUUGGGGUCUUGUCUCAUUUGGCACCCUCAUAGCUUUAAUUUUAUAGGUUUGCGAAUUUACUAACCACUAUUACGAGUUUUUGCAAUAUAAUUGAAAAAUAAUAUCAAUAUUUACAUAAAAAUGAACUAUUAAUCAAUAAACGAAUUGACUAAUUCCUAUAACAGAGCUCCAGGAAAUUCGCUUAGGUUACACUAAAGUGGUGCUAAGUUAAAGUGGUGUUUGAUUUAUUUGUGACUAACUGUACUUGAUAUUAUUAAUGUUUACAUAAUACUACUCUUUGUCAUACACAUAGUUUAAGUGCUAAUUAUAUUAAAUGCAAUCUGUUAAUAAUAAUACCAUAAAAGAUUAUGAUUAACAGAUUGCCUUUAAUGCUGAUAUUUGAGGAUUGUACCUAUUUGAACUUCUAUAAUCACAAAGUCUGUAAGUAGUUUUAAUAACUUAAUAUUAAUAUUUUGUAUUUUGUGCUAUAUUAAAGGAAAUAAAAUAAAUUGCUAGAAUUAAUUAAUUUAUUUUAUUUAUAAAUAUAAUAUUUUUUGCAGUAUGUUAAUAUUGUGUUGGUUUUAAAUGUUUUAUUUUUGUUAUUUUUUAUGUCUUAAUAAAUAUUUUUU
rnacentral:misc_RNA from 1 species